rnacentral:tRNA from 1 species
UGGAUCACCUCCUAACAGGGAGACAAACAACGAUUUUGAUGCCUGAGUACUUUUAUUCUUAGGCCGAAAUCCUGUCACCUUAGGUCGAUCGGUACCUCAGCUUUGAAGUCAAGAAUGAGCAGCAAUGUUGAUUGCUUGAUGGAGAUUUUCAGUUCCUAAACUUUGUCUAGGUCACACCCCAAAAGGGAUGAGACUCCUGGGCCAUUAGCUCAGGUGGUUAGAGCGCACCCCUGAUAAGGGUGAGGUCCCUGGUUCAAGUCCAGGAUGGCCCAUUCGGUGUUGGGGGUUUAGCUCAGUUGGUAGAGCGCCUGCUUUGCAAGCAGGAUGUCAGGAGUUCGAGUCUCCUAACCUCCACUGACCGAACUUUAUCCCCAUCUCCAAGAUGAUGGAGUAUGAGCUCGAUUGGUGUGUGAUUUAGAUGUGUCCGCUGGAUGACCCCAGCUUCCUGUCAUUCCAAGUUUCAAAGUGAACGCUUUGAAUUUGGUUGAUAAGAUGCUGGGCUCGGAUCAAAUGAUCAAGCAAUUGAUGAUUUGAUUUGAAGUUCUAGCAGAACCUUGACAACUGCAUAGGUGAAGUCUGGAAAAACAAAGCAUCUUACAGAUGCAUUGUUUUGAAUCUGAUUUUCUGAAAAGGAGAUUGGAUCUAGAACAAUGAAAAUUCUUUUGAGCAAGAGCCGAGACUCUUGAGCGUUCUUUGAUUCGUGUCGAGCGAAUCAGAGUUUAAUCUUGUUUUUAGCAAUAAAAACUUGAGAAUCUGCUUUCAACGGCGGUAAGCGUUCAGGAGAUUAAUUGGUCAAGCUACAAAGGGCUCACGGCGGAUACCUUGGCACACAGAGGCGAUGAAGG